UAGCGGGCUAGACUGGAGGGUUAGGGGUCCUCUGUAAGCGUAUAUCCCCUAUAUGACGCAGUUGAAGUUCAAGAGGCGGCAAAUUGACCGUUUAUUGGCCUAGAAUUCUGAUGCUGAGCCCUCGUCCCGCAGGAUCAGUGGUGGUAGGGUUCUGGUUGUAGGACCAGAAUUAAUUAUCUUAAUCAUGGGAACGGGUCAGGUCUGGAAAGAAGCAGCUCUACCAUGAACAGCUGAUGCUUGUGGAGCAACGGGGUGGAGUCGGGUUUCUGGAUCACCAAUAUUCGGAAGAUCUGUCCACUCUUGAACACGCCCGUUU
rnacentral:SRP_RNA from 1 species